GAUCAUUAUCAUAUCUAGAUAGAGGGAGAGGAGUGUCCUUGACCAGCUCAAAAAAAAAAAAAAACUCUUGCCUGACUUCUAAGAUCCAUCCCCCUCCCUGUCCUGUAUACUCCCUAUAUAAACCCCUGGCUCGACCCCUGAUGGGUGCUGCUUGAUUUGGAUGUGAAUAUCCCUGGCAGCCGCACGCUAAUAAAGUCCACAAUUUAAAAUUAGCCUGGGUGGUCAACUCGCUAAUUUCUCGGUAUAACAUUUUGGAGGCCCCAGCGAGAUAGCAGCGUACCGUGUGGCUGCAGAGACCCACCUAGAGAGGACAUCGGCCUCGGAGGGGGGAAUUGUUCUGUUCUGACUUCUAGGGGAGCCAGCCCCUGAUGAUGUUCCAGGGCCCCAGGACUCAGGACUAGGAGAAGCCUCCCUCCCCGACUCCGACUGUACCUCAUUUCGGCCCUCGUGGACCUGGUAACCCUCUGGAGGUAAAUGUUUGCAAACCUGUUUUCUGGUGGGGAACGAGUGCCAGACGUGGCAGAGCACCUAAUUAGUGCCUCAAUCCCCCAGGCACCCCGAGACGUCGGGACUAUGCCUGUAUCUGGUUCCUGGUACCCGGUUUCUGGUUCCUGGUUUCUGUCUUAGUUCUGUUGGGCCGUGUCUCGUUCCUGGUUUCUGUCUCAGUGUUGGUCUAUUAGUUUAUAUGUGUAGAGAUUGUGUUUUUAAGAGAUUCUGUUUUGCAAUCAUCUGCCUGAAGCCACCUCUGUUUCAUACUGAAAGACAGGUGUCAGACUGGAUUGCAGACAGUUUUCUCCAGACUUCCAUUGGGAGGAUGUGUUUGUGUUCAGGCUUUUAUUGUUUGUCUGUGUCUGUGUUCUGCAAUAAUGGGGGGAUACGGCCAGUACAUCAUUUCCCUCCCUUUUGGGUUGUUUGCAGCCAGACAGCCAAAGGCUGCAGCAGGACUCUGAAAAGUUGCCUUCAUUCUCCCCCUCUUCCUCCCCAGGUACAUUGAAGGAAACUCAGACGAGUGGAUUGUUUUGAGUGCACAGUGAGGGCAGUUUGAGGAGAGAUGGAGGGAAUUAUGUCCACCCACCUUUCAGUCUAGAUCCCCGGGUGGGUUCUUUUAAAGACUGGUCAUUAUGGGAAAGAAAAAGCAAUCAGAAUACUGGUCCAGUACAUUUCUAAGCUUAACAAGGGUAUUGCAUUUGGGAAUAUAUUUUUGUCUACCCCUCCAAAAACUAAAUAAAUAAAUAGGGGAGAAUGAAUGGGUUAGAAUA
rnacentral:lncRNA from 1 species